CCUACGGGUGGCAGCAGUGAGGAAUAUUGGUCAAUGGGCUUACGCCUGAACCAGCCAAGUCGCGUGAGGGAAGACUGCCCUAUGGGUUGUAAACCUCUUUUGUCAGGGAGCAACGCCGGCUACGUGUAGCCGGACUGAGAGUACCUGAAGAAAAAGCAUCGGCUAACUCCGUUCCAGCAGCCGCGGUAAUACGGAGGAUGCGAGCGUUAUCCGGAUUUAUUGGGUUUAAGGGGUGCGUAGGCGGAAUGCCAGUUCAGCGGUAAAAGCGCGGGGCUCAAACUCGCGCCGCCGUUGAAACUGGCGGUCUGGAGUGGGCGAGAAGUAUGCGGAAUGCGUGGUGUAGCGGUGAAAUGCAUAGAUAUCACGCAGAACUCCGAUUGCGAAGGCAGCAUACCGGCGCCCAACUGACGCUGAAGCACGAAAGCGUGGGUAUCGAACAGGAUUAGAUACCCCGGUAGUC
rnacentral:rRNA from 1 species